rnacentral:rRNA from 1 species
UACGUAGGGUGCGAGCGUUGUCCGGAAUUAUUGGGCGUAAAGGGCUCGUAGGCGGUUUGUCGCGUCGGGAGUGAAAUCCACUGGCUUAACUGGUGGCUUGCUUUCGAUACGAGCAGACUGGAGGUAUGCAGGGGAGAACGGAAUUCCGGUGGAGCGGUGAAAUGCGUAGAUAUCGGAAGGAACGCCGGUGGCGAAAGCGGCGGGCUGGACCUCUUCUGACGCUGAGGCGCGAAAGCCAGGGGAGCAAACGGG